rnacentral:rRNA from 1 species
UACGUAGGGGGCAAGCGUUGUCCGGAUUUAUUGGGCGUAAAGAGCGUGUAGGCGGCCAGGUAGGUCGGCUGUGAAAACUCGAGGCUCAACUGUGGGCUUGCAGCUGAUACGGGCGGGCUAGAGUUCGGUAGGGGAGACUGGAAUUCCUGGUGUAGCGGUGAAAUGCGCAGAUAUCAGGAGGAACACCGGUGGCGAAGGCGGGUCUCUGGGCCGAUACUGACGCUGAGGAGCGAAAGCGUGGGGAGCGAACAGG